UACGAAGGUCCCAAGCGUUAUCCGGAUUUAUUGGGUUUAAAGGGUGCGUAGGCGGGUUAUUAAGUCAGUGGUGAAAGCCUUCAGCUUAACUGAAGAAUUGCCGUUGAUACUGAUGAUCUUGAGUAUGAUUGAGGUUGGCGGAAUGUGUCAUGUAGCGGUGAAAUGCUUAGAUAUGACACAGAACACCGAUUGCGAAGGCAGCUAACUAAGCCAUAACUGACGCUGAUGCACGAAAGCGUGGGGAGCAAACAGG
rnacentral:rRNA from 1 species